GGGUCCUUCGGGAGGGAGGAGGGCGGGGCCCAACAGGCGGUGACAUCACCCUUGUCCCACUCUCACCGCCCACUCCCUUAAAGAACCCAGAACCCGUUUCACUUCCUCCUUCGCGGCGCCCCCCCCCCCCCCGCCCUUUCCCGUCGGUGCCGCCUCGACCCACGACGGGCGCAGCGCCCCCCUUCUGGGCACCUCCCCUUCGGCCCCAGUUCUUCCUUGUCGCCCGAGCCCAGGAUCCCCGUCCCCGCGCCUCUUCCUCGCCUACCCGGCGUCCCCGCAGGACAAGGUGGUCUGUUUACGUGCUAAGCUCCGGACCCUACAGGUCGCGGCGCGCCACUCCCCGCCGAGCCCUGCGAACGCUUGGGCUCUGCGGACGGCGUCCGCGACUCUAGCGGAGUUUCUGCCCGAACUCUCUCUGCUCACCACACUGACUUUCGGUCAGUUGCCAAAGCCCUGGGACGAGCAGAGCGCUUAACUGCGGUCUAAGGGUAGCCCGGGCCACAUUCCCCCACCCAAGUCCGGGACCACGCAUGGGCUAACGGGGGAGGGGGGGCGGGGGUUCAGGCACCGCAGGAUCAGAUCCCCGUUUGCGAAGCGGUGCCGAGGGCGCUGCCAGCUACCAGGAAAUGCAGCUUCCCCUUCUGCGAUGAUGACACUUCCCCUCCACCACUUCCCCUUUCCCACGGGGAACUGACUCAGCUUUCCCUAAAGCACUGAGUCCCGUCCCUCCAGCCCCUUUCCACCUUCGUCCACAACCCCCCACGCCGGUACUCAGAGUACAGCAGCCCUCACUGGAGAACAAAAACUUCCUGUGCACUAAAUACACAUUCACUCUCGCCAACCACCUCGGAUUCACCGGGACCCGGGCGCCUGACUCCUCAUCCGCCCCCCGUACAAAGCCCUCCCUCGGGGUCUGAUUCAGGCUUGGGGUGGGAGAGCGUGAGUCACCCACAAAACCUUCCCCUAUUCCCACUGACUCAGCCCUCGCCUCCCUGAACACACACAGACACACAGUCAGAGGCAGACACAACUCAGCCCACACACCGCUCACCACCGGUCCCGCGGAAUUUCCCCUCUCGUCUUCCCCCACGACGGCCCCUCCCCGCGCCCGCCAGCCUCGACGCCGCGCUCACACCUGUUCCCCGGCGCCGGCUCGCGGUCCACUCUCACCUCCACUCUCGCUUUGGGGCAGGAAUAGCCCUCCCCGCCUCCCGGUGUCCGUACUAACCAAGGGGAGGGGACGGCCACGGGCAGCAGUCACAAAGA